GCGGGCGUAACUCAGGGGUAGAGUGCUUGCUUCCCAAGCAAGAUGUCGGGCGUUCGAAUCGCCUCGCCCGCUCCA
rnacentral:tRNA from 1 species